GAAAUGCGAUAAGUAAUGUGAAUUGCAGAAUUCAGUGAAUCAUCGAAUCUUUGAACGCACAUUGCGCCCGCCAGAAUUCUGGCGGGCAUGUCUGUUCGAGCGUCAUUUCAACCCUCGAGCUCCCCUUUCGGGGGGAGCCCGGCGUUGGGGACCCGGCGCUAACAACGCCGGCCCCGAAAUGGAGUGGCGGCCCGUCCGCGGCGACCUCUGCGUAGUAACAACCACUCGCACCGGGACCCGGGCGCGGCCACGCCGUAAAACACCCCACCUUCCGAAUGUUGACCUCGAAUCAGGUAGGAAUACCCGCUGAACUUAAGC
rnacentral:misc_RNA from 1 species